CCUACGGGAGGCAGCAGUAAGGAAUAUUGGACAAUGGGCGAGAGCCUGAUCCAGCCAUGCCGCGUGCAGGAAGAAGGACCUAUGGUUUGUAAACUGCUUUUGAAUGGGAGAAAACCUGGGUACGUGUACCCAGCUGAUAGUACCAUUAGAAUAAGCAUCGGCUAACUUCGUGCCAGCAGCCGCGGUAAGACGAAGGAUGCAAGCGUUAUCCGGAUUCAUUGGGUUUAAAGGGAGCGUAGGCGGAUAGAUAAGUCAGUGGUGAAAUCUCUGGGCUUAACCCAGAAACUGCCAUUGAUACUGUUUAUCUAGAGUACAUUUGCUGUGGGCGGAAUAUGACAUGUAGUGGUGAAAUACUUAGAUAUGUCAUAGAACACCGAUUGCGAAGGCAGCUCACAAAAAUGUAACUGACGCUGAGGCUCGAAAGUGCGGGGAUCAAACAGGAUUAGAUACCCUGGUAGUCCGCACUGUAAACGAUGAUUACUCGCUGCUUGGAGGCAACUCUGAGUGGCUUAGCGAAAGCGAUAAGUUAAUUCCACUUGGGGAGUACGCGGCACGGUGAACUUCGAAGGAUUGACGGCNGAGACGNGCGAGGACGACGACGAGGAGAGG
rnacentral:rRNA from 1 species